GAAGCACAAAGAGGUUAAGAUCUUGUCCAAGAAUGGAAAUGGCCAAGCUGGGAUUCCCAACCAAAUAGUUUGGUGUCAUUUCAUAGAUGCUUAGCCAACACUUUGUACUUUCUUCAACCAGCAAAUGACAAGGAGGAAACCUCGGGAACACAGACACUUGGAGGGUAUGUUGAGGAAGAGAGACCAAUGAAGACCCCAGAGGAUAACCCAGAAAUGCAAAGGAGGAGAGGGAUUUAGGACAGGAAUUGCCCACUGUGUCAAACACUGUAGUGAAGUCCCAGAUGCCUGUGUAUAGAGUCAAGGGCCAGAGAGCACUUUUCUUCGCGGUGAUGGGAAAGGAAGCUGGACUACAGGAGGUUCUGGAGGCAAUAGGAGUGAAGGGACAAGAGCAGUCAGAGCAGAUGCCUCUUCUCAAGAGGAGAGAAAAGAGGAAACGACUUGACUGGUAACAGGAUGGAGGAGAUUUAUGGCAUUUGCAAAAGCAGGAGUUGUUCUGGCCCAGAUUCUGCCUUGGCUCAGAUGAAGAAGCUAAAGUCUGCAAAGGGGAUCAUAGCCUCACCACCAAGCUUGUCUGAAUGAACUUUAGGUUAACAUAACACAUCGGGUCAAGGUCAGGAACAGGAACUCCAGAAGGUUGAAGGAAUUCUGAAGGCUCCACUAAGACAGCCUCUACCAGAAUGAAGAUCUUGAGUGUCUCAGUCAGGAGGAAUCAUGGACACCAGCACGAACAAAGGACAUCAUGACUUUGAAGGCAAGCUCACCUAUAGCUGCCUAAAUGGUGGAGUCUGAGAACCCAGAGUUAGCACAUGUGGUUGGGGGACAUCCUGGUAUCCUUCAAGAUAGAACCCCUUUCUUAAGAUGAACCACAUGUUCUUCUAAGACUCAUAUUAUUCCAUGCUUUGGAGUUAUUACGCUUGUUUCCCCCUCACUGAAGUAAUAUCUCAAAGAUUUCGUGCUGAGCCAGGUGGAAACUGGAGGUUACUGGUUUUCAGGGUCCAGAAUGGCAGGGGCAGCAGUCAAGCCAGAUGGACAUGCAGAGAGCCAAAGACACAACUCAUAAUAACCUAUAAGGGAAAAAAAUCUGAAAAGGAAAACUGAAUCACUGUGCUAAAACUUGAAACUAACAUAACAUGAUUAGCCACCCUCCUUCCUAUGAAGUUGAAUGUAGUAUGUGUGAUAUGAAGAAAUUAAUCAGAAUCAUCUCCUCUUUAACAAGCCUCUUGCUAUAAAGUGUGGGACCACUGGCAAUAAAUGUGGUAUAUAUACACACAAUGGAAUACUACUCACCCAUAAAAAGGAACAAAAUAAUGCCAUUUGCAGCAACGUGGAUGUAACUAGAGACUCUCAUACUAAGGGAAGUAAGUCAGAAAGAGAAAGACAAGUACCAUAUGAUAUCACUUAUAUCUGGAAUCGAAUAUAUGGCACAAAUGAAUAUUUCCACAGAAAAGAAAAUCAUGGACAUGGAGAACAGACUUGUGGUUGCCAAAAGGGAGGGGGAGGGAGUGGGAUGGACUGGGAAUUUGGGGUUAAUAGAUGCAAACUAUUGCCAUUGGAAUGGAUAAGCAAUGAGAUCCUGCUGUGUCUCACUGGGAACUUUAGUCACUUAUGAUGGAGCAUGAUAAUGUGAGAAAAAAGAAUGUAUACAUGUAUGUAUGACUGGGUCAACUUGCUGUACAAUAGAAAAUUGACAGACUGCUGUAAACCAGCUAUAAUGGUACACCUGAAAAUUAAAAAAAAUAUAUCUUUUUGUUUCUUUGAAAAGUAUUUUUCCAUCAUUUUUGAAAUACAGAACAAUAGGUUAGUGAAUAUUUCCUUUCAGACCUUGGUCUUGUUUUACCUUCUGUUGCUUGAGUAUCUUACUAUUUCUUCUAUGAAGCUAAUGAAUCUUCUUUUCCUCUGGCUGCAUUUAUGAUUUUCAUUUUGACUUUGGUUACAGCAAUUUUACUAUAACAUAUUCAAAUGGAGAUUUCUUUGUAUUUACUCUGCUAUGGUUUUCAGAACCUCUUGAAUUUGAUCUUGAGGUCUUUCAUUAGACCUUGUGAAAUUCUUAGCCUGUAACUCUCCAAAUAUUUCUUAUGCCCCUCCUUUUUUUUUUUCCUCUCUCUCUCUCUCUUUUUUUUCCCAAGACCACAACCUGCAUAUUUAGACAUUUUGGCAUGCCCCAUUUUUUUUCCUUCAUAUAUUUAUCUUUGUAAUUCAAUCUACAUAUUUUCUGCUGCAUAUUUUAGUUCACUAUUACUCAGUUCUAUUACAACAAAACUUCUGCUGAACCCAUCUAUUGGAAUUAUUUCAGCACUAAAAUUUCCAUUUUACUUUUUUAUAAGUUCCAGUUCUCUAAUGAAAUUUUUUAUUUAUUUUCUUGAACAUGUGAGCUAUAUUUUCUUUAAAGUAUCUGUCUGUUAAUGCAAAUACUGGUAUAUUUGGAGUUUUUUGUUUUUUGGUUUUUUUACAUUAUAGUUCUGUUUCUUUCUUCUUCUUCUUUCUCUUGAUUUUCAGCCAUAUGGCCUUUUUUUUUUCCUGUCAAGUUUAGUUAGUUUUAUUGUAUAUUUUUAAAAUAUAGAGGCUUUGGAUGAUUUAUAUUCCUCCAGACAGAAUUUAAUUUUCUUCUGACAGACCACCUUGGGAAGACCACCUUGAUUUAAUCAGGAAUUAAGAGGACUUCAGGUUGUGUUUCAGGCUUUUUUGGCCUUCUUCCAGUUUGUACUCAUUCCUAGGAGGAGCCAUCCAUGGGUCUCAACUAAAUGUCUGUGUUGUUUCCAAGAUCCCUCUCCCAUGGCAGACCUUAAAAUUCUCUCUUAUAUUCUCUCUCUUUUUCCCUGAGAUUAAGUUUUAUAAUGUUUUUAACAUCUGUUUGGUCCCUCAGCCUCUUAGGAAUUGGUAUAUGUCUCUAGAAAAAACUUCGUGCAGAAUGUCAGGCUCACAUUCCUCUGAUACCCUUGUGUUUCGAAUUUUAGACCCUCAAAUCCACUCAUUCCAGAAUGAACGUUCAAAAUGUGGAUCAAAUUAAUAACAAGUAUAACCCAGUCCUGACAUACAUCAGUCCAAUGAACCAGUCUAAAGAAAUAGAGUGCCAAGUAGUUCAGUGGAAGGAAUUUAGUAUGAGAACCAGUUGACAAAGCUAUUGGAAACAUUACAAAGCCAAAUAAGGGAUGGGAAAGCAAUCCAGCAAUUCUCAUCAACAGAAAGCAGCUUCUGCUUUUAGGACAGAGAACAAUGUGUUAAGGUAUUUACAGAGUCCAGGAGCCAUGUCUAUCAGGUAGACACCCUGAGAGAGGUUGUCUAUCAGAGGUUAUCAGAACGGAGGCUUCCCACAAGAGUGAGGACCACAUGGGAGACAGAGCUAGUGCCAAGAAGAGAGGAAGAGGUAUGAUUCUCCUUUUCCACUGCCUGCCACUCAAUUGCCAAUGUUUCCUUUUGGAUGAACCUAACUGAUAGUUGGGAAAAGUGCCUGAGAAAUGUAGGAUCAGUCAUCUUUGUGUAGAACAGAACACUUAAUGCAUCAAAUUGCAAAAGGCAAAUGGCUCUCUCCUUUCUGAGAGCCAAUUGCAGAGAAACUAGUAGAAAUACACGUCUUCCAGGUACCAUUACCUUCAUUGACAGAUUAGAAGUAGUCUUAGAUUAGACAUAAGAUGAGGGAAGUUUUUAAAACUGGCUUUCUGAUUCAAAGAUUUUCCUAAACACAUAUCAAACAAUUCUGGAAGAGGUCAGUCAUUUCAGCACCAGCCAAUUUAGUGGGUCUUGGCCAAGAAAUUUUAAAAUAGAAUGGAAUGGGAUAGUAUAGAAUAGAACAUCACAACACAUAGGGACUUUGAGAGAAAGUAUUUGUUCAAAAGUUUUAAAACUCAGCCAUCUAGGUGAGUUAUUUAAAGUUGGUUUCAUUUUACUGAAGAGGAAGCAGACAAGGAUAAUUUCAUUUAAGAAUAGCAAGUCAAGACCUUUCAAAGAACAGAGAAAGAGGAAAGGAGAUUAAAUGCUCUUGGAAAAAACUCUAAAGUGGCAAGUGAAAUGCAAAUUUUAAAUAUUCCCCAGCUAGUCAAUAAAUCCUUACAAAUGGGUGGAUUGUUCAUCAGAAUUGAAAUAAGCCCUUGAACUUUGAUUUUCAUUAGUUUGGGUACCUGCUGUUUAAAGAAUCUUUAAAUUUAGACCAUCACCUGUGUUGUGAAACAUUUGACAGUAGAAACAAAUUACCUCCUUGUGGACUGAUCUCCUGUUUCCUUCAUUUUUCUCAGCUAUUCAAAGUGAAGAUAACAAUGACCCCCUCACUAGGUCUUCAUCAAGUGUUUUUGGCUGAGACAAGUGUCUCUAGUCAAAAAAAGGAUUUAAUUUAUGGGAAGGCAAUUUUUAGUUGUUUUGAUUAGGCAAUUUCUGAGACAAAAGGACCAGGUAUUGAAUCUGAGUGGAGCCAGCUGUGUUCCCUUUAUUAGCUGCUGAGGUGUUAGGAAAGGAAUUCAGGAGAGCUGAUGACCCUGCAGGUGGGAGAUCGGUGGGCAAGGAGGACAGAGAGAUCUCUUUUCAGCCAAAAUUGUGAUUGCUUGUAUUAAUAACAGGAUGGGUUCAUUUUGAUAUUUUACUACGAAUGAAAGAUUUGUCAGUCAAGAUCAUUUGAGUUGCAAGAAAGGGAAGAGUCAACAUGUUCAUAAAGAGGGUAUAGUGACCUUCAGUUCUGAAGAGCUCAGAGGUGGGGCUGGUGUCAAAACAGCUGGAUUGGAAGGUUUGACAAUCCAGCAGGACCUAGUUUCUCCCACUCUAUUUAUUUGCAGGGAUUUCCACCUCCCGGCUUUCAUGUUCAGAAAUUGGUGAGCCUCAGCGUCACAAAAAUUUUAAAGCAGUUUUGGAACCUAUAUUAUCUCCUGGUCUCAGCUAGUGGAGGGGAAAAAGCAAGAAUUUUUUUCCCCAAAGAUUGCUGCAAAAUUUUUUGUAUCUCAUUGAAUUUGAACAAUAUAUCCUUGAAUCAGUCAUUGCAUUCUGACGACUAGCUUUAACUUAGAUCACGUCCUCUUCCUCCACAAAGGUCUAGGCAAAACAUGGGGGUUGUGAAUGGAGGAAAGAGAGUCCUUCAGAGGGAAAUGAAAGUAUUUAACUUUUAAAAGAGAAGAAGGAAUGAAAGGUGGUCAGACACACCCGUGACAAAAGCAAAUAUCCUUUUCACAUGGUGGCCAAGUCCACUGAGCCAUGGCAUAAUGUCUUCCUAAUAUGAAAUGCAUUUUUGUUUAUUUGUUUUUCCCAUUCUCUUUUCUUGUUACAUUUUUGAAAAGUGUGGAGAAUGUUCCUGAGAGCAGUCUUUUGCUUGAGGAGAGGGGAAUAAAAGCCUUACUACAUGCUGCAAGCUACCAUGAUUUCUUUUUUAAAAAGUUAAUUUGCUCUGUUUAAGACAUACAAAUAGAUAUUAAAGCAAUAUACUGAAUACUUGUGCAUUUGCAUCCCUGAUAAGGAACAAAAUAUUGUCAGUAGAACUAAAUACACUUUUGAACCUCUCCCCAAUUCUCUCCUUUCCUUUCCCAGAAAAAACACUGUCAUGAAUUUAGUAGUUUUUAUUCCUAUAUCUUUAUUCAUAUAUUAACUAAAAAUUUUUAUGAAUCUUCAAGCAACAUGUAGAUUGUUUUGCAUAAUGUAAAUUCAUGAAAUGUAUAACAAAAUGUAUAUAUUUCAUAUACAUGCAGUCAUGUUCAUUACAACUUUUUUCUUUUCUCAGUUAUGUCUGAUAUAUGCAGCUCUAGCUCUUUCAUUUCUCUAUUGUGUUGUAUUCCUUUUUUUGGUAUUUGAAUAUAUCACAACUGAAUUAUCUAUUCUCCAGGUGAUAGACAUUUGUACUGGUUCCAGAUCUUACUAUUAGGAACAAUGUUGUAUGAGUGUUUUCUACAUGUUUGCUGGCAUAGAUGUUCAAAAUACCUCAAUGUUAUAUACCAAUGAGUUGAAUGGCCAGGUUAGGAAAUAUGGGUAACUUCAACAUUACUGGUUGUUGUUAAAUUGUUUUUCAAGGAAAUUGUACCAAUUUACAUAUUCACCAGCAAAGUCUAAGUAUCCCUGUGUCAGCCCUACCAACACGCUAUCAUCACAUGUUUGCAUUUUUACUGACCUGAUUAGUGUGAAAUUUGUGAUUUUAGUUUGAAUAUCCAUGAUUACUAAUGAUGGAACAUUUUGACAUAUCUUUGCUGACUAUUCAGAUUUCUUCUGGGAAUUUUCUGUUUACCUUUUUGGCUGAGCCUCCCUCUCCAUCCCAUCCCCUGCUUAUUUGAUUUCUUAGUGCUUUGGAGAAUUUUGUAUAUAUUCUGAACAUCAUUUCUUCUAUUGCGGAGAGGAGUUUAUAUAUAUUUCACACAGCCUUCUUCCAGAAUUUGCAUUGCCAUUUUAUGUGUAUUUCUUAAUAAACAGAACACUUAAUUAUGC
rnacentral:lncRNA from 1 species